rnacentral:SRP_RNA from 1 species
AACGGGAAAGUCCUGUACGACCAGCUCCUUCAAAACUCCCCCAGGGCGGGAACGCAGCAAGGGUAUGAAGUCGUAGCGGUGCGAUAUAGUAAGCUUUCCCU